rnacentral:misc_RNA from 1 species
ACAAAAGACAAGGGGUUGCUAGGGGACGAUAAACGAAUUAACAGCAGUAUGAGUUGAGAAAUCAGAGAGUGCGGAUUGCGUUGUCGAGAUAGUGUUGUUAGCGUUGUUAAUAUCUAGUUGUUUUAAUUAUUAUACGUUCGUUGCAAUUAGUUCAUGUUUAAUAACCAUUGUUUUCUGUUUAAUUAACAUCUGUUUAAUCCAUUUAUCAUUAAUAAACUAAUCAUAAUUAUUUAACGAUACUACAAUACAUACAAGGAAGUCGUACGAACGUUUCGAUUAUUCAUGAUGACUAAUGAUGAGAGCGCUACUGGUACGCACGGUAAAUCCGUUAUCCUAAAGCCAAGGUCCACGGUGAGUCAUAAAUUUGCACAUAAUUACACAGUAUAACGAACAAUACGCAAAGCCGUUGACCAGCCUAGCUUACGUUACAUAUUCAUUUCCACGAAAAUCACCGUCGAAUUACGCCAACCACGCUCAAUUAGCCUCCGUUUCGACUAAUUAUUUUCUCUGAAAGUCGAGUCGUUACGCGCCACAAGCGUGAUAAUAAAAGUUAACCCCUUUCCGUGUCGCAAACUCAAUUAUUUAACGUUAUUAUCGCGACACUGAAUUCUCUCCUCGUGUUACGGUCCUGUUACGGAUUUCGGUUAAAUUAGUUUAAUUGCAACGCCGUGAAACGAAGUUUCAUUGAAAACUUACUCGACAUUUUAAUACAACGUUUGUAAUAAGCAUUUUACGAUGUUG